AUCUACGACCACAGAAAGAGGAACACUAGGUAUCCCGUCCGCUCUGCCUUAUAUAAGCCUCUUAUCGAUCAGCCAGUAGUACAGUGGGUGACCAUGUGCGAAUCCUGAUUGUUGUAGAUU
rfam:Arthrobotrys oligospora ATCC 24927 unplaced genomic scaffold scaffold00007, whole genome shotgun sequence.